CAUGUGGUUUAAUUCGACGCAACGCGAAGAACCUUACCUGGGCUAGACAACGGUGGACCUCCCCAGAGAUGGGGAUUUCCCUUCGGGGACUGCCGGAGUCAGGUGCUGCAUGGCUGUCGUCAGCUCGUGUCGUGAGAUGUUCGGUUAAGUCCCGCAACGAGCGCAACCCCCGCCUUCAGUUGCCAACGGUUCGGCCGUGCACUCUGGAGGAACUGCCUGUGACAAGCAGGAGGAAGGUGGGGAUGACGUCAAGUCCUCAUGGCCCUUAUGGGCUGGGCUACACACGUGCUACAAUGGCGGUGACAGAGGGAUGCAAUACCGCGAGGUGGAGCAAAUCCCUAAAAGCCGUCUCAGUUCGGAUUGUUCUCUGCAACUCGAGAGCAUGAAGUUGGAAUCGCUAGUAAUCGCAGAUCAGCUCGCUGCGGUGAAUACGUUCCCGGGCCUU
rnacentral:rRNA from 1 species